rnacentral:lncRNA from 1 species
AUAUAUAUAAAUAUAAAUUUAUAUGAAGUCAUAAUAUUUUUUACCACGUGGCAUGUUAUCUUUCAUCCUCAAUACCCUACCCUUAAUCUUCCCACUCAUCUAAUUAAAUGAAAGUUACAACAUUUAAUUAUAUACACUAUACUAAUAUUCUAUGGGUUUUAUAACUUUAAUCCACUCCCCUUCUCCAUUAACCCCAACCCUCUAUAGGAUAAAAAAAAACCACGUGACAUAUUAUCCUUCAUUCUCAUAGCCUAAUUUUAAAUCAAAUCACCUUCUCCUCUUCUCAACGUCCAACUCUUUAUCUCCCUACUCCUUUAAUUAUACGUAAAGUGUAACAUUUAAUUACAUGCACCAUAUUAAUAUUCUAUCGAUGAGUAGGUUCUAGCUAUAAUUUUAUUUUUUUAACAGUUGAAUUUAAUCAUACAAAUUGACUGUACUUAAUAUGAUAUACCUUCCUAUAUAUCAAUAAAUUAUAAAUAUAAAUUUUAUUAAAAUUUUUAAUAUUUGUUUUUAUUAUCUACCCGCUGCAUUGCGCUAGUUUCUACAUUAAUAUAUAUAUAUAUAUAUGGAGAGAGAGAGAGAGAGUCGGACUACUAUGCAAUCGGUAGUACGGAGCAUUCCAUGCUACCAAGUUGUUUUCGAUGAUGCGGCUUCCAAAUCGACGAUCGGCUCCGUUAGACUUGAUUUACACUAUAGAAAGUAUUUGAAAACUAAAUUUCAGAUUUUUUCGACAUCAUUUGACUAGUGAUCAAAAGAUCUCAAAAUUGAUAAUUUUAAUGGCCGAUGUGGUGUGUUUGUGAGUUUAACGGUGUACAAUAAUCCAAAUACGAUGAAAAUUUUAUAGAAAAUUCUUUUCACUAUUUAGAGUAAGAUCAGUAUAUCUGAUCUUGAAUUUAAAUCUUUUAUUAUCAUUUUUCAUGAGAUUUUUAUUUUUAACCGUUCAAAUUUAGACUACUUGUUUGAUAGGUAAAUGAUAUCGAAAAAUUAUAAAAUUUAGUUUCUAAAUACUGUUAAUAUCAAAAUUAAAUUUAAUUCACGAUUUAUACUUAAAUUUAAAUUUUAAUAUAAAAUAGAUGAAAAUGAAUGCUAUUUUUUAAUAAAUUGAUCAUAAUUUUUCAUUUUUAUGUGAAAUAUUUGUAACGAAUUAAUUAUAACUGUUUGUAUGAUUAGAUUUAUAAAUGGAUAUAAAUGUUAUUUUUAAACAGAUUGAUCAUAAUUGUUCUUUCGUUCUUAUUUGCAAAAAAAUUUAAUAAAAUGCCAACGAAAAUAUUUAUUUAUUUUUUGAUUUCGUCUCUAUACACUUUUAUACAUAAUAUAGAUAAGAAUAUAUUACUUUUUAACAGAUUAAUCAUAACUGAUCAUUUUUAUUUGAGAUUUUUUUAAUAAACUAAUCGUACAUAUAUUUGUAGGAAAUAUAAAAAAUAUUAUUAUUAUUAUUAUUUAGAUUUCAUCUGUUGUUAUCUGAAUUUAUAUACGUUUUUAUAUACAGUAUAUAAAUAUAGAUACAUGAGGGU